rnacentral:rRNA from 1 species
GACGAACGCUGGCGGCGUGCUUAACACAUGCAAGUCGUACGGUAAGGCCCUUUCGGGGGUACACGAGUGGCGAACGGGUGAGUAACACGUGAGUAACCUGCCCACAACUUUGGGAUAACGCUAGGAAACUGGUGCUAAUACUGGAUAUGUGCUCCUGCUGCAUGGUGGGGGUUGGAAAGCUCCGGCGGUUGUGGAUGGACUCGCGGCCUAUCAGCUUGUUGGUGGGGUAGUGGCCUACCAAGGCGGCGACGGGUAGCCGGCCUGAGAGGGUGACCGGCCACAUUGGGACUGAGAGACGGCCCAGACUCCUACGGGAGGCAGCAGUGGGGAAUAUUGCACAAUGGGCGCCAGCCUGAUGCAGCAACGCCGCGUGCGGGAUGACGGCCUUCGGGUUGUAAACCGCUUUCAGCAGGGACGAAGCUUUUUGUGACGGUACCUGCAGAAGAAGCACCGGCUAACUACGUG